AACGAACGCUGGCGGCAUGCCUAACACAUGCAAGUCGAACGAGACCUUCGGGUCUAGUGGCGCACGGGUGCGUAACGCGUGGGAACCUGCCCUUAGGUUCGGAAUAACUCCCCGAAAGGGGUGCUAAUACCGGAUAAUGUCUUCGGACCAAAGAUUUAUCGCCUUUGGAUGGGCCCGCGUUGGAUUAGCUAGUUGGUAGGGUACAAGCCUACCAAGGCGUCGAUCCAUAGCUGGUCUGAGAGGAUGAUCAGCCACACUGGGACUGAGACACGGCCCAGACUCCUACGGGAGGCAGCAGUGGGGAAUAUUGGACAAUGGGCGAAGGCCUGAUCCAGCAAUGCCGCGUGAGUGAUGAAGGCCUUAGGGUUGUAAAGCUCUUUUACCCGGGAUGAUAAUGACAGUACCGGGAGAAUAAGCACCGGCUAACUCCGUG
rnacentral:rRNA from 1 species